rnacentral:lncRNA from 1 species
CAGUGAUAAAAGGCUGACUGCCUACAUAAACUGAAGUGGGCUGCAAUGCUGUUAUUUUGUUUAUUGCUCUUUUACUGCAGUGGUCAAAUAGUUCCUUUGAGACCAGAUACCGGUUUUCUGCCAUCUGCACAAUCAGUGUCUGAAAACUUGUAUCAAAUGAAUCACUAUGGAAAAUAUUUAUGUAAUGAGAGGACUAAUUAAAUGAAAUGUUGCCUCUCAAAACUGAAUAGGAAAUGCAGAUGAUUAAUAACAAAUGAAAAAUAACCUGCCGUCUUUCUUCUUAGCAGAUAGUAGCACUUUCCUUGGGGAUCUUGACUUGCAUAAAUCCUGUGCAUCUCUGAGCAGGGGUCAGUUAAACAGAACUUUUGUCCAGUUGUGUUAAGGUUUUACAUUUCCAUUUGUGAAAUUCAUAUCUAAAUGCCUCUGAAUAAGUUUAACCACAUAUAUACACUUGCAGGCUGUAAACACCUACCCAGAAAGCUUAUAUUAAGAGCUUAUUUUUGUGUUUUCUGAAUCAGGAAGUUCAGAAACAAAAUCGUAACUUCAAACAAAAAAUAAAAUUUGGUCACAUAAAAUUAUAUUCAAGUAAAAGAAAACCGUGAAAGUUAAUAAUCAGUAGAGGUAAUCUGUUUUAUUCCAGAUACAAUUAUUACAUUUUAAUGUAGGAUGUUGGAGGAAUUUCUCUAAUAAAAAUCUAAAUCUGCUACGUUUUAAGUAUUGAACUCUGGGAGGGUGGUUCCAUGGUAUGAUUUUGACAUGUUUUUGGAAUUCUGAUAUUAAAGUUUAAAAGAUGUACCUCUGUAUGGAAAGAGUAUUGCCUUCUUUGUAGGUUAUCACAAUACAGAACUGACAUAAGCCUUCAACAAUUUGAUGAUGACAUAAGGGUUUACUUUAAUAAAGUAUGCUGAAGAGGAGUUCCUGAGAUUUUAAACUUUUCAGAGGAGUCAGUUUUGAAUAAAUUUCACUAUGUAUAUUGAAGUGAGGACAAAAUUAUUUCAUUUAUCAUUAAAAUAAAAUUAGAAAGUAUUUUAAGUACAAACAACUUCUAAUUGAAUGGUUUUAAUUAAAAACACUUCCUAUUGAAAAAUCAUGAAAUUACAUUGUACACAUUCUGAAAUGCUUACAAAAGUAUUUUCAAGAUAAGAAAAUAAACUAGUGUUCAAAUGAAAUUAUGUAUUAAGUAUGGCCUUGAAAACACAGAUAAUAAUGAAAACUUUUUUAUUAUUACACUCACACGAGUCUGUUAAUUCUAGGAAAAACUCUGAAUCCCUUGAUAUUUAUAUAUUCACAUGCUUGAUGAGGUAGCUGGAGGGGCUAGUGUGCAUCAUUUUCUGAUGUAUGUAAUAUUAUUUAUAAGUAUGUAAUAUGAAAGUUAUGCAUAUUUUGAUAUUUAAUGCAUUUUUGUUUUUUUUCAAAACAAUGUUCUUCCUGUCAAAAUAGGCUGCUCUCAAUAAAAUGGAACUAAAUAAGCAAACCGAGACCCAGGGAGAUAGUUAUAUAUAUACCUUCUCUAUGAUUAUGGAUUUCACCCCAAAAGGAUUUUCUCAUCUACAGAGAAUAGAAUAUGAAGAAUGAGUUACUAAGAACCUAAUGAGUUACUAAGCUGCUGAUAUAUUAAUGAGUUACUAAGUAAAUGAUGUAUGGAUGGAUGAGUGGAUUUCUAAAAAUAUACAUGAGGAACCAUAAAUUUGUAGCAGCAGGUAAAUAAAUGAAAACCAGUGCCUAUGAGAUUUACAGUUUGGAAGCACUACACUUGUUCUGAGAGUCUUCACAAAGUAAAAGAGAAGAAUAUUAUGUAUUAUAUAAUUCUCAUUUUCUGAAGGAAUAAAAUGUGUUAUUUAGAAGAGUUUUUUUUCUGGUGUAAGAUUAUUACAGAAAUAUGAAAUAGUUUUUAUACAAGGGAGUUUAUGUACAUCAGAGGAUUUCAACAGAGAUCUUACAAACAGUGCACAAACAUUGCUCAUAUGGUCAUGGGGAGGGUAUUUUUACAAUCAGCUAUUCAUCAAAUUAAAUGGCAUGUAAUGCAAGUUGCUCCAUUAUUAACAAUGUAACCUCUGAUCACUCGGUAAAGGUGGCAUCUGUCAGAUUUCUCCACCGUAAAAUUCCAUUUUCUGCUUUACAACUAAUGAGUAGAGUUGGUUCUCCUAUAACUCUUCUUUUGAAAAUGUAAAUAUGUUCCUUUUUUUUUUGGUCUUUGUGUCUUUGUGUCUUUUCCAGGCCCGCACCCACGGCAUUUAGAGGUUCCCAGGCUAGGGGUCUAAUCAGAGCUGUAGCCGCCAGCCUAUGCCACAGCCACAGCAAUGCGGGAUCCAAGCCAAGUAUACGAUCUGCACUACAGCUCAUGGCAAGGCCAGAUCCUUAACCUACUGAGUGAGGCCAUGGGAUGAACCCGAAACCUUGUCGUUCUUGGUUGGGUUCAUUAACCACUGAGCCAUGACGGGAACUCCAUGAAAAUGUAAAUUGUUGUAAUGUGAAUGAUACAUUAGGGAAUCAGUGGAGCAUGACAAUUACAUAUUUGUUUGUGUGUAAUUUUGUCAUGAAGAAAACCACGUGAACACAGAAAACUAUAUCCAGUUGGACCAAGCCGUGUAGCAAAAUGCAAAACUCAUACAUGCACACACCUCAAGCAUCUGCUCACAACCUCGGUUGGCCAUGUGUGUAAUGAGACAAACCCAUUCGUAUUUGAUGUUACAACUUCCUUCCCAAUUUCAGAUAACCUUUCUUUCACUAUUUCACAAUAACUCACAAGUUGCAAUUCAUUCAACACCCAUAACUAGAAGCAAAUUUCAAGUGUUUUUCAAGGUAAAGUGCCAUAUUUAUUGUUAUAUCAUAUACAUAUUAGCCACUUAAUAUGCUGCCAUUUUUAUCAGGUUUCUAUCUUUAAAAAAAAAUGAGUUCUUUCUGCAUAAGCCCAAUAGUUUUUAAUUGUGCAAUUUUACAUAGUGUGGUGAUUUUUAGGAACACAUAUCACGUAAUAGUAGAACUGAUUUUAAUCUGUUGUAAAUGCUUUAAAGAGUAUGAAAAUAUCCUAUUUUCCAUCAAGAUUUAACCCAUUAAUUUUAGCAUCCAUUGAUGAUUAUUGUCUGAUAAUAGUAAGGCAAUUUUCUAGCUGUCCUACAUUUAAAUAGUUGAUAUUCUUCCAUAAGGGUAAACUUUUCACUUCUUUUGUCUUUAACAUAUGCGUGAAUUUGUGAAUCAUGUUUAAAAUUCAGUGCGUUAUAGUCAUUUUUUUGGGUGAAUAAAUUUUUCAAAUUCAUUUAGUAGAUGGUUUUUUUUAUUUGUUUUCUGGCUCUUAUGUCUCUGAUACCUUCCUACCAUUUUUUGAGAUGUUUCUCAUUUUCUCACUCAGGGAGCUAUUCCAGGCUUAUUGUGUACAUUUUUCCUGAAUCAGUUCUGGAAUCAAAAUCUUUUAUUUUCAUUAGUUCCAUUUAGUUAACAAUUAUACUUAGAAAUUGAGACCUGCUACAUGUGCUCAUUGCUAAGGGUCUCUAUAUAGCAUUCUGAAGGGCACUUGUUCUGAAACUCUUAUUUUUUGAGAUACGAAAGUGAGUUUCUAACAAAAGUGCAUUUCAUGUGGGUGUGAUUUAAAUUUUUUGCCCUUAUUUAGCCUUUGCCUUUGUUUUCCAUAAAUAAUAAUCAUUUUGACUCUUUUCCCUUUUAAAAGGACACUGGGAUAUACCUUCACCUACUUGUAUUACCUGGGCACCUUUAAAUAAUGGACUUCAAACAAAUUCUAUAACCCAAUGAUGUGUAGAAUGGUUUGAGGUCUAAUGUUGGGCUAAAGGCAGUUGUGGUCACAAGAAAAACAUAAUUUCAUCACAGAUUUUAUUUUAGGUAUAUUAUCUGAACAGUUUUCUAAAUAUUCUUGAAUGUUAGUGAAAACUAUCACUGCUAAUAGAAUAGCUGAGAUUUUGCUUUUGAAAAGGGAUAUUUAAAUAAUACUAGUCAAAAGAAAUAAAAAAGAUAAGAGUUCUCUUCUAUUGUGAUUAUCAUGAAAAAAUGUAUUUUAAAGCAUGGACAAUUACAUUAAAAAACUGAACUAGAGGCUUCACUAAACCUAAACAAUCAAAGUUUUCAGGAUUGUCAGUGGAUCUUAU